rnacentral:rRNA from 3 species
ACAUGACUCUCGGCAAUGGAUAUCUCGGCUCUCGCAUCGAUGAAGAGCGCAGCGAAAUGCGAUACGUGGUGCGAAUUGCAGAAUCCCGCGAACCAUCGAGUCUUUGAACGCAAGUUGCGCCCGAGGCCAACCGGCCAAGGGCACGUCUGCCUGGGCGUCAAUC